rnacentral:lncRNA from 1 species
CUCUCUUAAAAGCCAAGCCACCACCUGUUCUUCACUCUCUCUCUACCCCUCCUCCACCCCACCUUCCCUCAUAUUGUAAUCAAAUUCUUCUCUCUCUCUCUCUCUCUCUCUCUCUUCCCUCCAUCAUCAACCCAGCUGCGACGACGAGAAAGAAAGAUGGGUACAGAAAUUGAACAAAUUAAGGAUGGAUUAAAGAAAGGGGCAGGAAUUAGCUUCUCCGACGACUUCAUUCCACCGAUAGUGUAUUUUGGUGGUGGUGGCCCCGUGUUUGUGUUAUGUGUUUGGGCUGUGUUGAUUGAGGUUGUGGCGGGGGCGAUGGUUCAAGCAGUUGCAGGCGAUGGUCACAAGUGGUUUUGAGGUGGCUUUUGUGAUAAUUUAUUGAGGUGGUUUAUUAGUGGUGCGUGGUGGUGCUAUCAUUGGUGGUUCUACCCUCGACGGUGUCGCAAUUUUUGAUUUAUUUUUCAGCGAUGGUGGCCGGGUGAGGUUUGCGUAAGCAGAGGUGUGUUUCUGAUUUGUUAAGUGUGGAUGUAUAUGAUUUUGCAAUGGUGAUGGGGCGAUGGUGGUGCGGUAGUGUGGGUAUUGGUGGAGUUGGUGUUUUUUUGAUUGUUAGAGUAGUGGUGGUCGUUUGUGUUUUGGUGGUGUCGGGGAUUUGGGUGGUUUUGGUGCUAAUGAAGC